rnacentral:misc_RNA from 1 species
GAUGAAGAACGCAGCGAAAUGCGAUAAGUAAUGUGAAUUGCAGAAUUCAGUGAAUCAUCGAAUCUUUGAACGCACAUUGCGCCCGCCAGCACUCUGGCGGGCAUGCCUGUUCGAGCGUCAUUUCAACCAUCAAGCCCCCAGGGGCUUGUGUUGGGGCCCUGCGGCUGCCCGCAGGCCCUGAAAACCAGUGGCGGGCUCGCUAGUCACACCGAGCGCAGUAGCACAUCUCGCUCAGGGCGUGCGGCGGGCUCCUGCCGUGAAACCCCCCACUGUAACCCCAAAGGUUGACCUCGGAUCAGGUAGGAAUACCCGCUGAACUUAAGCAUAUCAAAAGCGGAGGA